GAAUAUUCUUGUAACAAUGACUGACAAAAUUGAUAAAAUUUUGCAAGAAUUGGGAUUAGAUGAAUAUAUCGAAGCCUUCGAAAUUACUGUAGAUGUACUUAAAUAUAUGAAUGAAAAUGAUAUGAAAAGAAUAUAUGAAAAGAAUUAAUACCCUUAAUUGGGCAUAGAGUGAUUUUUUUAAAUUUUUGGAAAAGCAAAUAUUGUACAUCUAGUACUUUUAAUCUUGAAGAAGAAAGUCAAAACAAUAACAGUAUUAAUUCAGAGAAGGAAAUUGAUAAUAUCUGUGUUUCUACAACCGAAAAAGAAAUUGCACUUACCAAAGGUGAUAAUCAUUUAAGAGAUCAACUGGAUGUAGUUUUAAUACCAUCCAUACAAGAAAUUUUAAGUAGCAACGUAGUAGGUGAAACAAUUGUCGAAAGAUAUCACAAAAAAAAUGAGUUAAAUCAGAAUAGUAGAAACUCACUAUGUGAUAUAAUAUCAUAUUUACAAAACAACAAAAUGAGAAGAAGUAAUAAAAUAAUAAGAUAUGUGGCUGAGAAAAUCGUACGAGAAUUUCCAACUGAAUCGCUUCACACAUACUAUAUUUCACCCGUUAAAAAAAAAAUUCAUCUAAAAACAAACCUAUCCCGGCUCGUGGAAAAUUAGUAAACCUAUGGCGGAAUCGUGAUUACCGUUUAAAAAUAUUUGCGUUACAAACAUCAGUUGACACUGAAGAUGACGAAUCAGAAAAUGAGAAUAAUGUGGACGAAACAAUCUAACAUAGUGUAGAAUGGAUGAAGAAGCAUCAAGCUCCUUGGGAAACUGUAAAAAUGCACUGGGACAUAACUUAUAACAUACGUUGCAAAGACAUGCAACAAUAUAAAGAUAAAGUUUUAAGUACUUUAUUUGAAAAGUGGCACAUUUUAAAGCACCCAUUAGGACAUGAACUUAUUGAUUUCGAUUUUAAAAAAAUGAAUCUGACACAAAUAUCAUUAAAUAUUGAAAUAUGGAAUACAUUUAUGACGGGUGUUCUGGAAUGUGUAACAGUAAAGGAAACAGACGAUACUGCGAUCGAUUUGUUUAACAAAUACAAAGACACACAAAACAAUGAUGAUACAAGAGUGGCUGCAAGCUUAAUGUUGUUGGCUCAUUUACUUCCUCCUCGCAAAAUGUUAAGACAUAAUAAACAAUGUUAUAAACCGUCAAUUGUGGAUGCCAAAAAGAGUAUUAUAAAACAUUUACAAGUUAGUUCAUCAUAAUAUAUUUAAUACUACAAAAACUGAAAAUGUGUAUUUGAAGCUUCUAGGUCCGAUCGUUGUCUGUUCUUGUUUAAUUAAAAGAAAGAAAUCACAUUUAAAAAUUCUUGUAUAAAAUUAGUGACAAGCGAUUUAGAUUUCUAACCCAUCUUUUC